UACGAAGGGGGCUAGCGUUGCUCGGAAUCACUGGGCGUAAAGGGUGCGUAGGCGGGUUUUUAAGUCAGAGGUGAAAUCCUGGAGCUCAACUCCAGAACUGCCUUUGAUACUGGGAAUCUUGAGUAUGGAAGAGGUGAGUGGAACUGCGAGUGUAGAGGUGAAAUUCGUAGAUAUUCGCAAGAACACCAGUGGCGAAGGCGGCUCACUGGCCCGGAACUGACGCUGAGGCGCGAAAGCGUGGGGAGCAAACAGG
rnacentral:rRNA from 1 species